CCGGCACGGGUGAGUAACACGUAUCCAACCUGCCGUCUACUCUUGGCCAGCCUUCUGAAAGGAAGAUUAAUACAAGGUGGCAUCAUGAGUCCGCAUGUUCACAUGAUUAAAGGUAUUCCGGUAGACGAUGGGGAUGCGUUCCAUUAGAUAGUAGGCGGGGUAACGGCCCACCUAGUCUUCGAUGGAUAGGGGUUCUGAGAGGAAGGUCCCCCACAUUGGAACUGAGACACGGUCCAA
rnacentral:rRNA from 1 species